UAUUAUCUUUAUUAUUAUAAAAAAGAACAUUAAUACUAACCAAUAUCAAUCAUCUUUCUAGUUUACCCCAAAAAAAAUAAUAAUAAUAAUAAUCAAUUAUCCUUCUAUGCACAUGUCAUCCUCCCUUACACAUGUCAAAGUGUAGUCAACUUCAACAUUACCCUUUUCGUAGUGAAGUUUCUAGCCCAAGGUAGAGGCCACCAAAAUGAGGGCAAAACAGAGACAAUUUGACAUACCAGAAAGAACAUCCUCGCUUUAGAGAAGCAAUAUCGAUCAUCCUUCUAUGCACAUGUCAACAGAUUUCUUUACAAACUUUACUCUCUAAGAUCAGCUAUGAGUCAUAUCAUUUCUUAGAAGUAGUUUCUGGAAUUAUGUAGAAUACAGAAGAAGGAAAUUCAAACCCACUCACUCAGAGCUUCAGAACCUGCUCAUAAACUCGCCGCUGCUUAGUUGCCUCUUCAUUUCGGUCCUCUUUCUGAAUAGUUUCCUCAGCUAUCUUUAAAUCCUCAUCCUUUUGAACAGCUUUAUCCUUUUGGAAGUUCUUAUAAAGAGCUUCCAAGCAAGCACUCUAUUUCUUAGUAAUUUUCUCAUCUGUAAACAUUUUAAAGAAGUUUCGUCUUCAUAUCAGCAAUAAUAGUCAUGUAAGAAACAAGUUAUUCUUGUUUUUCUGAGGACAAAACUUUUUGAGAAGAAUUUGUUUCUUAUAUGACUGUUUUUGUUGACAUAAAGAUGAAACUUCUUGAGGAUGUUCAAAAGUGGAGAAAAUUACUGGAGAUAGGGUGCCUGUUGGAGAAGGUCUUUAGAGGAUGAGAACGCAUCUAACGAGGAUACAAAAGGAGCUGAGAAAGCUAGUUAAGAGGAUAAGGUCCUUAAAGAAACGGCUUGUUCAACUGUUUUUGCUGAUAUGAGGACGAAACUUCUCCCUCCCGGCCUUGUCGACACCGCUUCUUCUAUCUAUUACAGCGGAGAUGAUGGCAUUAACGACCCCUUUCAUGGUGGGGACGCCAAUGGAUCUGAUAAGAAUGGUUUGGAUGAUGUGUUUUUGUAUUUUGGGUUUGGGGGCUUGGGAAUUUGAGGUGGUUUGUGGGGGCAGGGUUGAAUUUUAGUCCAUGGGUUCUUGCAAACUUGGAUGUUUUUUGUUUGCUUGAAAUUGGUGUUUUUGGUUUUUUGUGGAGUUGGGAAAUGCAACUUUUUGUUCAUCGUUUUCUCCGGCAAUUAUUUAUAAGGAAAUGGAUGGGGAAUUUCGUUGAUGGGUUUCUGUGGGUUUGAUGGUUUCUUUUUGUUAUUUUUAUGCCAGUUGUAAUCUUUGUUUUGGAUUGGAUUGGCUGUUCUAUUUUUGUUUUUGAAAAUAUAGCAAUAGGUUAUCUUCAUCCAACUUCAAGUGCUUCAGAUUUUUGUAUAUAAUUUUCACUUGUUUCUAAUUUGUCAUUCUGUAGUUGUAUACUGCUGACGUAAUAAUUUUAAGCUGCUAUAUUAUUCAGAUUAAGUUUGAUUUGUGAUUGGAGAUGUUUGGAUUUUUCUGUAGUAAUUUGGUAGAUUUUAUUUUUCUUUUCUGAAAAAUUGUUAAAAUGUUUUAAUUGAAAGCCAUGAUGUGUAAAGGUUUCUUUUAUUACCAAGUUUGUCUUUUCUAAUGUAGCAAUUCUAAUAUUUGUUUCAAUAUUCACGAGAGGAUGAUAAUGGAAAUAUUUCUGAAGAAUAUUUAUUAACAGAACUUGAAGAUGCAUUGCUGAAGCAGCGGCCAAACUGUGUGUCUGGCUUUGGAUUGAGAAAUCAAGGGACCAUCGUUAUCAAAUCCACAUUCAGCAUCGAUUAAAUGAACUUGAAGUUGGGGUAGGAAAUCGAAGGAAUAUUCCAGUGGCUUUGCUCUGGACCAUGUCAGCUUCAGUAUGUCAAAAAAAGACCAUCAACAAUAACAUGGUUCAUAUGUGAAGAAAGCAAAGUUGGUUCAAAAGAAGAAAUAGAAAGGGUUCACACGUAAGGCAAGGCUUUACCAAACUCUAAAACAAUUUUCGUUUUACACAAAAUGGUGGAGAAACUAGCAUGAACUUUGAUGUCUAUCAUCCUGGAAGAACUGAUACCAAGGCUUAAACAUUACUUUCUUAACAUUGCUUAACAAUGAAGCAACCCUUAAAUCAUCUUGGAGUAGUUUCACCAUGGCUAGACAUGUUGUAAUUCUAGCUUUGAUAAUUCACCAUGUGGUCUCGCUUUUUCGUGCUUUCUUUUAACUACUUUUAACCAUAUAUGAACACUUCAUGCGUUAAGCCGGAUAAAACAUAUCAAAAACACACCCUUUGGCUUUGUAGUGUUAGCCUGAGGUUUACAAGCUUCUUACGCUAAGUCACAUCUCCAACACAUAUUCCAUGGUACUUUUAGAAUGUGGAAUGUAAAGUAAUCAUAAAACUUAGAAAAUGAGAACAACAUAAGAUGAGCAUUAUAUAUUGGUGUCUACACAAAUGUUUCAGAUUUGGUUUGGGCAUUCACACAAAGAGCAGUAGUAUUUCCUUAUUGAUUUUUGUUUUCUUUUCAAAACGGGAUUUAUAUAUCUCUGAAAGUAUAUGAUAUGGACAAGGCUACCUAUGAGUCUAUGAACGCCACCAGUAGUUUCAAGAGGAAUUUGUAGAAAAAGAGGGUGUUGGAUUGAAAGCCUUCUACUCAGAACAGGUGAGGACUUCAUGAGGCUGUGCCUCUUCUCUUCCAACACCCGUAAGAUCAAGGCAAUACAAGUAAUGCAAGAUGAUGAUGUUGAUGGCUGCAGCUGAGCCAAGUGUUGCUAAGUAUUUAUUGUCUACAUUUUAAAUGGAAAGAAUAUGUAUAGUAUUGAAUUUGAUGUUGGCAUAAAUAUCUAAUGGAUUUACAGGGCAGGGAUGACUUCCAAAUAACCCUUCUUAGGGUACUUGAAUCUGUCACAGAGGAGUCAACUGUAAUCCUUGAAAGCCUGACGUAAUUAUCCAUGAAAUUCUCCCCAGUUUGGCUGUUCUAUAUAAGGGCAAUAAGGAUGGUGAAGCCAUCCUUAUUGCCUGAAAAUUUUGUUUGAAGUUAUGAUUGUCUUUUUGAAUGAACAAUGUGAAGAUGGGCGAAGUUCAAAGGAUUUGGAGUCGAUAUCCAAUAAAUAUUUCCUCCUCCUCUACCCCUCCUUGAUUGAAGAUGAGGAUCCUAUCCCCAUGUAUGCACAGAAGCUUCUUGUAAUGCUGAUUGAGUUUAGUUACGUAAAAAUAUUAGAUAUUCUUUGAGUUUUUGCUUGGGGAUCUCUCAAGUGCAUAUGUUAGUUACGUUAAGCUUUGCCUAGGUCUUGCCUCUGCUCCAGAGAUGGUAUCCAAGUUACUUUCUCAGUUGGAAGGAUUGAAAAUCUUCUGGAGUUUGUAUAUGCAAAGGAUAUGGAAGAUUUCCUAGAACCAACCCAUGGCCUGUGUAAGGCUUUUCUUCUACGUUCUGUGAGCGGUCGGAAAGGCUUCAUCUACAAACAAAAGAACCUGCUCUUUUAUGUAUGGUUCUUCUGAAGUCAUUGGACCAGUUGAUCAGCAACAAGAUUUAAGAGAUAUUAUGGACUUCGUCAGCAAUGCUGGCUUCUUGCUAGAGUUAAGUGCUUCCCGUGAAGCAAAUGUGGGAGAUAUGGCUUCUGAAUGUGUUGUCUUGCUGCUCAAGGCAGCUCCUAGGGAAGCUACUACUGGUCUGCUUACUAAUCUUCACAGGGUCAGUGCAAUCAUCGGGUCAUGGAACAGGGGGAUUUCUCACUUUCUGGUGGUGCAGCGGAUGCUACAUGCGAUUGGCCAUUCAUGUAAGCAAUAUCUGUGUCGUGCAAUGAUAUUGUCGAUAUCCAUACCAGAGAUUACAAAGAUUGAAGCAAUUGUCUCUGAGCUCAAAAGUUCAGGCAUAUCUGGUUUAGCCAAUGCUGCUUCGCUAGUUGAGGUGAAGUUACAGCGCCUACCCCGUUGCAUUUGAAAUCCUAGAGGUUUUAUGUUUGUUUCUUUUUUUCUUUUUUCUUUUUUCCCUCUCUAGUAUGUUUUCAAAAAGCAAUUUUAGUUUUCAGGAUUCACUUAUUUAUAUUUUGCAUGCAAGCAACAAGCAAAUGAAAUUGACUUUUGAGAAGGGCAUGAAAGACUUGCUUCCUGAAUUCUCUCUAAGGGGUCAAUAAUUCGCCAGGUGUGUGUCUUAAAAAUUUUCUGCAUGGAGUAUUAUUAGCAUUCAUCCAUCUUCUCUUUGGGCUGUCAUUGUAUAAUCAAUGUAUACAUUGUAUCUUAAUUGACAUUAUUCGAGCAUAUCUUUGUUUUUCUCCUCCGAUUAAAA